AUGGGUAUAGAGUCUAUAGAUAUUCCGCUCUGCGAGGGACCUAAGCAGACUGCAUAGGCCACCACAAAGUGAGUUGGCUCUACCUUAAAUAAUUAUACCAAUUGUGGGGUUGGUGCCUGCUUAUCUUCUCUGCCUCUCCCAAUCACGGCGCCUCUCUUCGGCUCUGCCUCCGUGCCUGCGCGUGUGCUCCUAACCGGUAAUGAAAUUUGUUCUUCACCAUAGACACAAAAACAAAUUCUGAACUUUGUCCAAACGUCCAAUUUUUGGUUUGUGUUGUUGUCACCGGAUGCCGGCCACCAUUGUCGGUGGGGGGAGCGUCACAGCUGUUCUCACCAGCCCCCAAAGCUAGGCCGAAUCCAAAGAAGCUGGCCAAUGUGAGAGAGAGGCUCUCGGAGCAGACAUUCCAGUAAUUACUCCAGUCUGCCGUUCUUUAUCAGUCGUAAGUGGUGAGUGGUUUAUUCCAUUUCUCCAUGCUCCACUAACACACAUAUGUAUGUAAGUGGGAAAUUAUAUUCACGGUGCUUCUAGACGUUGGGCUCUGUCAAUUCUGUCUUUAGCUCAAGCAAAUCUCUCUUGCCUGAGCAGACAUGUGCCUAAUCCAGAAAGAACUGUUUAUUUGCAAUUUCUAAACCAUUCUCACAGGGCCCUGCAGGGUAGAUGUUAUUAUUAUGUUCCUGAUCAACCCUCUCUAGAACUAUUUCCAAAUACAUGGGUCGCAAUCCAACAAAAACCAUAAACCAUUGAGCAUCGCAUCAUUGGUGACGUCUCCCACCCAUACAUAUCAGUUCGAUGUUAUGGAAACUUUUCAAUCGCAAGACGAUUGAUAGAGCUGUUGUUGUUCUUUUUGUUUUGUGUUGUGGAGGCGACUAGAAUGCUUCACCCAUUUGAACUCGGCGCGUGUGUAGUCCGGCGAUGUUAACGAAGCUGAAGCUUAUUAUAUUAACAGCCGCUGACAGUCCCAUAGAUUAGAUUGUAGAUUGUAUGUGAGAGGAAUCGAAAAACAUAUUGGGAUUGUUGGUAAGUGCCAGACACUCUUUAUACUAUAUAGUAGUACAUAGAUGUUGAUAAGAACUGCCACGCCUCCGUCUGAAAGCUAUGGAAACCUUUUAUAAUACAGCUAAUGCCAGACACUCAAUACUCUAUAUAUGUACAUUAAUGUUGAUAAGAACUGCCACGCCUCCGUCUGAAAGCUAUGGAAACCAUUUAUAGUACAGCUAAUCUUCGCUAUCAAACGAAUUUAACAAUAUGUUGUGCCAGUCACAGCUAAUUACUAGACAUUCCAUAUCUUAUCAACAUCAGGCGAGAGCUUUAAAAGGCUGACUUCCCAGUCAUAAUGGGAUCUGUAAUCACUAUAGAAUUUGAAAAAAUUCCUUUUGUAAGAUGUAUUUGUCUAGACUUGUCCUACCAAUAAAUUAUCGCAGUCUUGCUACACGUGCCGCUUA